rnacentral:rRNA from 1 species
GUACACGCUGUGACUAGCAUAUCAAUAAGCGGAGGAAAAGAAACUAACAAGGAUUCCCCUAGUAACGGCGAGUGAAGCGGGAAGAGCUCAAAUUUGAAAUCUUCAAGGUUUGACCUUGACGAAUUGUAGUUUAUAGAAGUGUUUUCUGUUGGAGUUUUGGUAAAAGUUCUUUGGAAUAGGACAUCAUAGAGGGUGAGAAUCCCGUAUUUGACCUUUACUUUCAACUUUGUGAUACACUUUCAAAGAGUCGGAUUGUUUGGGAAUGCAGUCCAAAAUGGGUGGUAAAUUUCAUCUAAAGCUAAAUAUUGGCGAGGAGACCGAUAGCGAACAAGUACCGUGAGGGAAAGAUGAGAAGAACUUUGAAAAGAGAGUUAGACAGUACGUGAAAUUGUCAAAAGGGAAGCGUUUGACACCAGUGUUGUUUUUCUGAAAAUCAAUUAAAGAACUGUUUAUGCUAAGCUGUUUAGACUUUAUCAGCUAUCUGUUUAGUUUUGAGCUCUUCUUUAAUGCACUUUUCAGUUAACAAGUCAACAUCAAUUUCUUUUGCUGUAAAAAAGCUUGAGGAAGGUGGCUUGAGAUUCGUCUUAAGUGUUUAUAGCCUCUUGCCUAUGCAGUCGGAGAGAUUGAGGUCUGCAGCGUAGAUCCUUCGGGGCUAAAUGCAUUUGUGCUAAGUUAUAGCAUUUUCAUAGACAACUUGUUGACUAUGAUUUGUCUUGUAGCUUACUCGCUUAUGUUAUUUUACCUACGCUUAGGAUGUUGACGCGCGUGUGUGCGUG